rnacentral:rRNA from 1 species
UACAGAGGGUGCGAGCGUUAAUCGGAAUUACUGGGCGUAAAGGGCGCGUAGGUGGUGAGAUAAGCGAGAUGUGAAAUCCCUGGGCUUAACCUAGGAACUGCGUCUUGAACUAUCUCGCUGGAGUACUGUAGAGGGUAGUGGAAUUUCCGGUGUAGCGGUGAAAUGCGUAGAGAUCGGAAGGAACACCAGUGGCGAAGGCGGCUACCUGGACAGAUACUGACACUGAGGCGCGAGAGCGUGGGGAGCAAACAGG